rnacentral:tRNA from 1 species
GGGGUUUUGGCUCAGUGGUAGAGUGCUUAUCUAGCAUGUAUGAGGCACUAGGUUUGAUCCUUAGCCCCA